UACGUAGGGUGCAAGCGUUGUCCGGAAUUAUUGGGCGUAAAGAGCUCGUAGGCGGUUUGUCGCGUCUGCUGUGAAAACUCGGGGCUUAACCCCGGGCCUGCAGUGGGUACGGGCAGACUAGAGUGCGGUAGGGGAGACUGGAAUUCCUGGUGUAGCGGUGAAAUGCGCAGAUAUCAGGAGGAACACCAGUGGCGAAGGCGCCACUCUGGGCCGUAACUGACGCUGAGGAGCGAAAGCUAGGGGAGCAAACGGG
rnacentral:rRNA from 1 species